GUGAGUGUUUGCUUGGCUAGGUCGGGUCUUUACAGCUGGGCUGAAUGCCAACAAAAAAAUUCAUACAGGUUUGGGACAACAUUUGGGGACGAGCCAUUCGACAUCCCACCCCCACUACCUGUUUCAGUAGGAAAUACAUCAAAACAACAAAUAGAACUUCGCUUGUCAAGGCAUGUCAUUGUGUCUUUAAGGGGAAUCAUUUGGAGUCUUCAUCUCAUUGUGCUAACCUGGCAACCUCCACCACCCCACCACCACCAGUUGAGUCCCGUCCUACAUGGGGGUAGGCUCCCUCCCCUGCCUCCUAUCUACGGCAGGAUCUGAUGGUUCAGAGAACAACUUCUUCGGACCGCCAGAUGGGGCUUACGCCAAAGAGAGACAUUACG